rnacentral:rRNA from 1 species
AAAACGGGUGGUAAUGCCGGAUGUUCCACAUGAUCGCAUGUGAUUGUGGGAAAGAUUCUAUCGGCGUGGGAUGGGGUCGCGUCCUAUCAGCUUGUUGGUGAGGUAACGGCUCACCAAGGCUUCGACGGGUAGCCGGCCUGAGAGGGCGACCGGCCACAUUGGGACUGAGAUACGGCCCAGACUCCUACGGGAGGCAGCAGUGGGGAAUAUUGCACAAUGGGCGCAAGCCUGAUGCAGCGACGCCGCGUGAGGGAUGGAGGCCUUCGGGUUGUAAACCUCUUUUGUUUGGGAGCAAGCCUUCGGGUGAGUGUACCUUUCGAAUAAGCGCCGGCUAACUACGUGCCAGCAGCCGCGGUAAUACGUAGGGCGCAAGCGUUAUCCGGAUUUAUUGGGCGUAAAGGGCUCGUAGGCGGCUCGUCGCGUCCGGUGUGAAAGUCCAUCGCUUAACGGUGGAUCUGCGCCGGGUACGGGCGGGCUGGAGUGCGGUAGGGGAGACUGGAAUUCCCGGUGUAACGGUGGAAUGUGUAGAUAUCAAAAAAAAAACACCCA